GUUUAUUAAGGGUUUUCAAUAUAAUAAACUUUAGAUUAAUUUUACAGACAACUAUAUUCUAUAGUAUGUUUAGAACAUAAGUACAGUAGCUCCUAGAACUAUCAUUUCCAAGUUUUACUUAAUUAAUUCAAAAGUUGAUGUUGGUUACUGUCUGGCCAAUUAAUAUUCAGCCAUUGAUCUAUCUAUUCUGCUUAGAAGUCAUGUCUCAUCAGUAUUUUAUUGGGCAGAAGUUAGUACUUGCUGUGGUGGGUGGGUAUUUAACUACCCGAAAGAGUAAGCAGAAACUUGACGUUUCGAGCGGUUGGCCCUUCGUCAAUAGUUGGCUACGAACUCUUGACGACAGGCCUUCACUCGCAACGUUGAGUUUCUGCUUAUUUUUUGGACCAAGAACUUGUUCUCAAUUACUGCUAAUCUUGUUGUUGGUGUUGUUUAUGUUGACAUUCUUCGAAAAAGCCUAAAGAUGUAAUUCCACUGUCGCGUUUUUCUUACGUGCGUAUACGCACGUAAAAGUUCAAAUCCAUUUAAAAGUUG